GGGACUUCAGGGACACUGUGUAAAAUACAUGCAUAUAGGAUAAGAGGUGGUCAAGCAGGGUUGGUAAGAGCCAGAAUUUGAAAGUCAUAGUAUGUAGAUUCAAGUCUCAGUUCUAUCACUUAUUGCUGUGUAGAUCUUGAUUUUCUUAACUUCUUGGGAAUUCAGUUUCCUUCUUUAUAAAAUGGAGUUAUAAAUGGAGUUACGUACCUCAGAGUUAUUGAGGAGAUUUUUUAGGUUAGUACACAUAAAAGUACUUUAGAACAAUACCUGGCAUUGCUUUUGAGGGAAGCUUCCUGCAUCUUAGGACAGAUGAGCAGGUUUGGAAUCAUAGUCUUACUAAUCUAUAUGGCAUUUUGAAGCUUUGAGUUGUGUUUUCUGAGAUCUCAGCACUUGUUUCUAGAAGUAGAGGAUGGUAUGAUGACACCCUCCUUAUAUUCAACUUUGAUAAAGGAGAAAAUGAAUUAUUUGUAGUACUACCAUUUUAAUGACAAUUUACUUGUUACUUUUCAGUCUUGGUCCACUCAUACAUUUUAAGUCAUUUACAAUUAUGCAAUCAAAAUACUCAUCUAUAGCUGUGGUGCCCUUCCUGGAUUGCCACUGGACAGGGCAGAUGUGGGAGCCUAGGAGGCUGUCAUGUCCUCACUGAGUGCUUUCCCCAGGAGCUAAUCUUGCUCUAGAUCACACCCAGGUGCUAGUGGGUAGCUCACAUCCAGGGGGUGGGCUGCAGGGAGUGAUUAAAGGACAGACCCUGUUGUCUGAAGUCAGCCAUCCUGGCUUCAGGCUCUCUGUGAAAUUGGCUGGAACUCGUCUCAACAAAUUGGCAUGGGGAUUCAACUCUCCCCCUGCCUAGUGCUGAUUCUCUUGCUUCCUCACAGGGGAAAUUCUCAAGAAUAUUAUACCCCUGCUGCCUACCCCUUGAAUUGAAUCUCAGAGUUUCACAGCCUGUUUCUCAGGGAAUCCUGUCUAUGACCAUGUCUGUCUCUUUCAUCACCAUUUCUCUGAAGACUGGUGAUGUUGGCUGGAGUAUAUGGCAUAAUGUAACCAUUAUCUUAAGGCUUUAGCCACUGAUUCCUGGUCUCAACCUGUAGCAAUUUUGUCCCCUGGAGACAUCUGACAAUGUUUGGAGACAUUUUUCUUUUUCACAACUGGUAGGUAGACACCAAGGAUGCUGCUAAAUAUCCCACAAUGUAUAAGCUGAUACCCCAUGACAAAGAAGUAUCCUUCCCCAAAUGCUAAUCAUGCCACGCUUGAGAAACCCUGCUUUAGAGUCAGCUAGUUGUGUUCUAAUUUGCUGAAUUCCCUUGGGCAAGUGAUUUACUUUAUUUCAGCCUCAGGGUUGUUGGUUUUUUUUUUUUUAAGUAUUUGUUCUGAUUAGUUUUACAUGAUGGUAGAAUACAUUUUGACACAUCAUACAUAAACGGAGUAUAACUUCUCAUUUAUCUGGUUGUACAUGAUGGAGAGUCACACAGGUCAUGUAAUCAUAUAUGCACAUAGGGUAAUAAUGUCUGAUUCAACUAUCCUUCCAACCCCCAUACCUGCUUCCCCUCCUUUCACUCCCCUCUGCCUAGUCCAAAUUACCUUUAUCCCCACUCCAUCCUUAUUGUGAAUCAGCAUCCGCAUAUCAGAGAAAACAUUUGGCCUUUGAUUCUUUGGGAUUUACCCUCAGUUUUCAUGUAUAAAAAUACAGGCAAUGAUAGUACCUGUGUCACAGGAUUGUGAAACCAAAUUUAGUUCACACAAAGAGGUGGUGUUGUGCCUGUUGCAAAGUAAGCAUUCCAAAAAACGGUAGCUACCAUCCUCAUUGUUAUGUUUUAAAGCCAUCAUUUUAAUGACAGCAUAAUAUCCUACUGAGUUGAUGUAAUAUUUCAUUCAUUCACCUAUUGCCAUCUAGCGAGUUUCAGUUUUCAAUACUGCUGCAAUAAACAUGUCCAUCAUACAUCUUGUUGUAAAGAGCAAAGCAUGGAUUCUAGUUCUGACUCUGCUUGGUCUUGUGACAUUAGGCUGUCAGUCUCUUUGAGCCUUCUUCAUUUGCUCAUGUGUAAGUGGGAACGGUAGACCUUUUCAUGAGAAGCGAUUCUGAACAUACUAUGAAUUAGCAAUGAAAUCUACAUGAGUUCAAGUCCCAGAACCACCUUUGACCACUU
rnacentral:lncRNA from 1 species